UACGUAGGGUGCGAGCGUUGUCCGGAAUUAUUGGGCGUAAAGGGCUCGUAGGCGGUCUGUUACGUCGGGAGUGAAAACUCGGGGCUCAACCCCGAGCCUGCUUCCGAUACGGGCAGACUAGAGGUAUGCAGGGGAGAAUGGAAUUCCUGGUGUAGCGGUGAAAUGCGCAGAUAUCAGGAGGAACACCGGUGGCGAAGGCGGCUCUCUGGGCAUUACCUGACGCUGAGGAGCGAAAGUGUGGGGAGCGAACAGG
rnacentral:rRNA from 1 species